rnacentral:rRNA from 1 species
GACGAACGCUGGCGGCGUGCUUAACACAUGCAAGUCGAGCGGAAAGGCCCUUCGGGGUACUCGAGCGGCGAACGGGUGAGUAACACGUGAGUAACCUACCUCGAACUCUGGGAUAAGCCUGGGAAACUGGGUCUAAUACCGGAUGUUCAUCUCCUGCUGCAUGGUGGGGGAUGGAAAGUGUUUAGCGGUUCGGGAUGGGCUCGCGGCCUAUCAGCUUGUUGGUGAGGUAAUGGCUUACCAAGGCUUUUACGGGUAGCCGGCCUGAGAGGGCGACCGGCCACACUGGGACUGAGAUACGGCCCAGACUCCUACGGGAGGCAGCAGUGGGGAAUAUUGCGCAAUGGGCGGAAGCCUGACGCAGCAACGCCGUGUGAGGGAUGACGGCCUUCGGGUUGUAAACCUCUUUCACCAGGGACGAAGCUUUUGUGACGGUACCUGGGGAAGAAGCGCCGGCCAACUACGUGCCAGCAGCCGCGGUAACACGUAGGGCGCGAGCGUUGUCCGGAAUUAUUGGGCGUAAAGGGCUCGUAGGCGGCUUGUCGCGUCUGCUGUGAAAGCCCGGGGCUUAACCCCGGGUCUGCAGUGGAUACGGGCAGGCUAGAGUCCGGGCAGGGGAGACUGGAAUUCCUGGUGUAGCGGUGGAAUGCGCAGAUAUCAGGAGGAACACCGGUGGCGAAGGCGGGUCUCUGGGCCCGGUACUGACGCUGAGGAGCGAAAGCGUGGGGAGCGAACAGGAUUAGAUACCCUGGUAGUCCACGCCGUAAACGUUGGGCGCUAGGUGUGGGGUUCCCUUCCACGGGAUCCGUGCCGUAGCUAACGCAUUAAGCGCCCCGCCUGGGGAGUACGGCCGCAAGGCUAAAACUCAAAGGAAUUGACGGGGGCCCGCACAAGCGGCGGAGCAUGUUGCUUAAUUCGAGGCAACGCGAAGAACCUUACCUGGGUUUGACAUGUGGGUUAAUCCGGCAGAGAUGUCGGGUCCUUUUGGGAACUCAUGCAGGUGGUGCAUGGCUGUCGUCAGCUCGUGUCGUGAGAUGUUGGGUUAAGUCCCGCAACGAGCGCAACCCUCGUCCUAUGUUGCCAGCACGUUAUGGUGGGGACUCAUAGGAGACUGCCGGGGUCAACUCGGAGGAAGGUGGGGAUGAUGUCAAGUCUUCAUGCCCCUUAUGUCCAGGGCUGCAAACAUGCUACAAUGGUCGGUACAAUGGGCUGCGAGACCGUGAGGUGGAGCGAAUCCCUAAAAGCCGGCCUCAGUUCGGAUCGGGGUCUGCAACUCGACCCCGUGAAGUUGGAGUCGCUAGUAAUCGCGGAUCAGCAACGCCGCGGUGAAUACGUUCCCGGGCCUUGUACACACCGC